UACGAAGGGGGCUAGCGUUGCUCGGAAUCACUGGGCGUAAAGCGCACGUAGGCGGAUUGCUAAGUCAGGGGUGAAAUCCUGGAGCUCAACUCCAGAACUGCCUUUGAUACUGGCGAUCUCGAGUUCGGGAGAGGUGAGUGGAACUGCGAGUGUAGAGGUGAAAUUCGUAGAUAUUCGCAAGAACACCAGUGGCGAAGGCGGGUCUCUGGGCCGAAAUUGACGCUGAGGAGCGAAAGCGUGGGGAGCAAACAGG
rnacentral:rRNA from 1 species